CAAGUACUCCCUCCAUCUGGAAUUACUUGUCUCAAAAUGGAUGUGUCUAGAACUAAAAUACAUCUAGAUACAUCCAUUUCAAUGACAAGUAUUUUCGGAUGGAGGGAGUACAAG
rnacentral:pre_miRNA from 1 species